rnacentral:snRNA from 1 species
AGCUUUGUACAGUGGCAGUAUCAUAGCCAAUGAGGUUUAUCCAAGGCGUGAUUAUUGCUAAUUGAAAAAUAACCUAGUAAUACA